AACGCGAAGAACCUUACCAACCCUUGACAUGGGCGUCGCGGAUCCAGAGAUGGUUCUUUCAGUUCGGCUGGAUGCCACACAGGUGCUGCAUGGCUGUCGUCAGCUCGUGUCGUGAGAUGUUCGGUUAAGUCCGGCAACGAGCGCAACCCACAUCCUUAGUUGCCAUCAUUCAGUUGGGCACUCUAGGGGAACUGCCGGUGAUAAGCCGGAGGAAGGUGUGGAUGACGUCAAGUCCUCAUGGCCCUUACGGGUUGGGCUACACACGUGCUACAAUGGUGGUGACAAUGGGUUAAUCCCCAAAAGCCAUCUCAGUUCGGAUUGGGGUCUGCAACUCGACCCCAUGAAGUCGGAAUCGCUAGUAAUCGCGUAACAGCAUACUGCGGUGAAUACGUUCCCGGGUCUUGUACACACCG
rnacentral:rRNA from 1 species